GCCUUCGUGGUGUAGUGAUAAGCACGCUCGACGCGUAACCGAGAGAUCCGUAGUUCGAUUCCCGGCGAAGGCU
rfam:Stegodyphus mimosarum contig112607, whole genome shotgun sequence.